UGAGCAUCACUCCAGUGCGGAGGCCAAGU
rnacentral:piRNA from 1 species